CUUUAAACCAUUAUAAAAUAUACAGUAGUUAAUCAUCAAUUUUCGAGUACGAAUAACACUCUUGUAAUAACGGAAUGAUGAAGUUUAGUAAAUGUCGAAAAUAUUUUGUUACAUCGUACUUAAAAGAAUAUUGUGAAAAUUUCGUAAGAACGCCAGUGGAGAACCAUCUGCCAAUCGCGCAUUGUUUAGCUAAGUCAUUUUCUAGACGACGCCGUGGUGUUAACAUCUGGUCCGGACUCCGGGGUGUUGGUCGUGCCGUCAUUCUUCAUCCCAUCAAUAAACAUACUAAACCUUUGGAUUCUUACUCAAUACUCAAGCCCCACGUGAUGCCUAUAUACUACAAACAAUAGGGAGAGGAUGAGGAACAGCUGUUACCACUUAUAUAUAUCACAAUUCACACUUCUUAAACUGCCCUCACUCCUAAAUCCCUAAAGUGGCGACCCCUAUGCUAUGAACACCCAACUGUGAUCUGUGAACCAACUUCUCACUGUGAAAUAAAAUCCAACCUUGCCGACCAACACCCCGGAAGAAAAAACCCCUAGGGCCCAAUCAAAAAUUAUUUCAACACCCCGGAAGAAAAAACCCCUAGGGCCCAAUCAAAAAUUAUUUCAACACCCAGAAUUCUAACGGCCAGACCAGAAUCUUCAUUAUCCUACUCACAAUUUUGUUGCUUAACCUAUCUGCCUACCUAUAAUAUUCUUCAUGCAAUCUGAUCCUGGCAAAUCUGAAUAAUUCAACCUUUUCACAAUUCACAAGAUACUUUCCCAGUUUCCCUUGUUAUUUAUACACUCAAGAUUCAAGAAACAUCAUCUCAUCACCCUUCUCAAGUGUCCUGCCUAGAAAAGAUCAGCACGUGGAACUUCAACUCUCCAGGGUCAAGACCAGACUGAAAAGGAAGGCACAACAAACAUCAGCACCUGAAACUUCAAACUCUCAAUAUCAGCAGCCUGAACAUAAGCAGUGAGUGAGUGAAAUUCUAUACAAUUUUAGUGAAACCGGUGCAGAAAUAAUUUUUCUCAUGCAGUACUGUAUUGAGAUCGGUGUUGCCAUCCUCAGAGUGUAUACUGUGUAUUCAUAUUGUCUCGCAGCAUUGUUAAUCUCUAAAAUUCAAGUAACAAA